rnacentral:rRNA from 1 species
UGACAGGUGGUGCAUGGUUGUCGUCAGCUCGUGUCGUGAGAUGUUGGGUUAAGUCCCGCAACGAGCGCAACCCUUGAUCUUAGUUGCCAUCAUUAAGUUGGGCACUCUAAGGUGACUGCCGGUGACAAACCGGAGGAAGGUGGGGAUGACGUCAAAUCAUCAUGCCCCUUAUGACCUGGGCUACACACGUGCUACAAUGGACGGUACAAAGAGCUGCAAGACCGCGAGGUGGAGCUAAUCUCAUAAAACCGUUCUCAGUUCGGAUUGUAGGCUGCAACUCGCCUACAUGAAGCUGGAAUCGCUAGUAAUCGCGGAUCAGCAUGCCGCGGUGAAUACGUUCCCGGGCCUUGUACACACCGCCCGUCACACCACGAGAGUUUGUAACACCCGAAGUCGGUGGGGUAACCUUUAUGGAGCCAGCCGCCUAAGGUGGGACAGAUGAUUGGGGUGAAGUCGUAACAAGGUAGCCGUAUCGGAAGGUGCGGCUGGAUCACCUCCUUU